rnacentral:rRNA from 1 species
AAGGUUGACCUCGGAUCAGGUAGGAAUACCCGCUGAACUUAAGCAUAUCAAUAAGCGGAGGAAAAGAAACCAACAGGGAUUGCCCUAGUAACGGCGAGCGAAGCGGCAACAGCUCAAAUUUGAAAUCUGGCUACUUUGUAGUCCGAGUUGUAAUUUGUAGAGGAUGCUUUUGGUGAGGUGCCUUCCGAGUUCCCUGGAACGGGACGCCAGAGAGGGUGAGAGCCCCGUACGGUUGGAUACCAAACCUUUGUAUAGCUCCUUCAACG